UGUUUACAAAUGCAUGAAGUGAUUACUGUAGAGUUUAAUCCUGCUUGGUGCAAGUGGAAAGAACGAACACUGACAUAUAUGGCAGAAGGUGACUGGAAGACAGCUGUGAGGGAACCCAAGAGCAUUUGGAGAACUUAGAAAGUGUGGAAACAGCCCAGGGAACUCAUUCCAGCAAAGAUACAGCGAUUGGGAGCAGGGGGAGCACAGAGGAAAGAUUGAGGAGACCAUGCAAGCAUUCUUUCACAGAAUAGUUUAUUCAUCUGACAGAAUUGUGGAAAAUCUGGGAGCCUAUAUAAUAGAUUUAGAAGGUUUAUCAGAAGCUGAAAUGGCAUAGAUUUCCUUGCCUAACGGGGCACAGGUGAAUACACCAAAAAGAAGCUUGAGGUGGGAUGCUCCCACCUCCUCUGCAACCAUAUUGGCCAGAAAUGGAUGGGGAGAAGCCUGACAUAUGAAAAAGACAAUAUUUGAAAAACUGCAACAAACCCAUACCUGCCAACACGUCCUAUUUCCCAUUCAGGUGAAUGGGAAAAUAGGGACAUGUUGGCAGGUAUGCAAACCAUAAAGCUUACACUGCUUCCUGCCACAGUAAAGCCCCACCAUCUGGGAAACCUCCUGGAGAUAUUGUGAAAAAAUACUGGAGAAAAAUAUUAGAAAAUCUCUAUGAACAGCUUCAGUCAAAUAUGGCGACCACAGUUACCCACCACUAGCAGUUCUUAGCUCUGUUUUAAUCAGUACAGGUAGAAAAGAAGGAAUGUAACCAGUUGAUUUAAUGCCUUUUGUCUGUUACAUGUUUUGCCUAUGUUAACAAUGGUUCUAGGAGCAUCUUUGGGGCGUUAAAUACUCUGUGCUAAUUGGAUUUUCUGCUCAUUUUGUUGUAGUCUUACAGAGGAGCAUCAAAAAGCAACAAAUUAUAUGUUUUUCUCUAUUGUUAAAUUAGAGGAGAUAGCACAGUGCAAGAGCUUAAUGUACCUCAACCAUUAGCAGUCCUUUUGUACCUCCAGCAAAUUGCCUCUUAGCCCUUAUAAUAUAGGUUACUAGACUUUCUUGGCUGCAGAAAAAGUGACUUUUCUAUCUUCAUCUAACUAGAACAAUAUGUUUAACUAGCAAGGUGCCCACAAAAUAGUGGGAACGUAUAUGUUAAUAUGGUAUAGGGAAAGCUUUUUAAGGCAUCAACAUUUUUAACUGCUGCUUUAAUCACAGUUUUGUACUAUUGUAUUUUGUGAUAUUUUAUCUUUUGUAAUCCACUCUAGAAAUGUUUGGGGUGACACAAAGUUUAAUACAUAGGUGCACUUAGGUAAUUUUGGAGCCUGGACCUAAAAGUCUGCAUAAGACGGCUCUAUGGUAGGCUUUUAUUCUAUAGUAUGGUGGCGGGGGGGAGGAUCAAAUUUUUCAUAUGUAUAAGGUCACAUGCAGACCACAUACAGGUGACUAGCUUCCCCUCCCUGAUGGUGGCUGUCCUUCCUGACCCAGUGAAGCAGUGCCAAUUUAGGGAUGCUGGGGAAGGGACAUCACCAGUGUUCCCUCUAGUUUUUAUAGUCAGUGAGCGGAAAGAGGUUUGUCCUGGGCAGCAGCCAUCAAGUGUGCGCACAUAACACACACACUCUCUCUCUCUCUCACACACACACACACACACACACACACACACACACACACACACACACACACGGAUUAAUGACUAUUGAAUCAUACUGUAAAAACGUUCCACCUUUCUUUUUUUUUAAACCCGGGGGGGGGGGGGGGGAUGAGCCGCCACUGCUGCCACACACAGUUUUAAUUCCACUGUCUAAAGACUGCUAAACGUUUUGCAUCCCACUCUGCUGUCUCACAGGCCAAGCCCACCCUCACACUCAUAUCUCUGGAUAGCUCAAGGUCUAAACCUACCCACUCAUUCCUCCAAAGCAUCUGGAUGGUGGGACAGGCUUGACCGAUCAUAGAAGCAUUUCUUACCCUGCCCAGCACUCAGAUGCUAUCCUGACACUAAGGCUGCAAUAUUUAGUCAAUUAACCAAUUAGAUCAAAUCAAAUGUUUUGAUACAUUAAAAAAAAGAUGCCCUAAGUGAUCAGCACAUUUUAAAUUUUUAAAAGAAAGUUAUGCUUAUAAAAACCACCUGGCAAGUAUCAUCUUAAAAGAGGCAUUAUCUAAAAAGAAAGCAUUUUUCCCCCUUCGAACUAUUCUUUUACAAGUAAAUCAAUGAACUGAUCAAUCAACUAAACUGUAUAUGAUGAAUUAAAAUUUCUUUAAUCAAG